rnacentral:rRNA from 1 species
CCUGGUCUUGACAUAGUAAGAACUUCCAGAGAUGGAUUGGUGCCUUCGGGAACUUACAUACAGGUGCUGCAUGGCUGUCGUCAGCUCGUGUCGUGAGAUGUUGGGUUAAGUCCCGCAACGAGCGCAACCCUUGCCAUUAGUUGCUACGAAAGGGCACUCUAAUGGGACUGCCGGUGACAAACCGGAGGAAGGUGGGGAUGACGUCAAGUCCUCAUGGCCCUUAUAGGUGGGGCUACACACGUCAUACAAUGGCCGGUACAGAGGGUAGCCAACCCGCGAGGGGGAGCCAAUCCCACAAAGCCGGUCGUAGUCCGGAUCGCAGUCUGCAACUCGACUACGUGAAGUCGGAAUCGCUAGUAAUCGUGGAUCAGCAUGCCACGGUGAAUGCGUUCCCGGGCCUU